GUUGUGUCAAACAUCUGGAAUGCUUUUCGCAUAAUCGCGGUCUUUUGUUCGUCUUCUUCCUGGAAUUUUUUACAAAAAACAAUUAAUAAAUAAUUUUUAUUGAUUCUUUGGAAGAUAAAAAAAUUUUAAAAAGCUCUUCUGACUGAAUAAUUUAUGCUAAGAUGCUUUCAAAAGAUAAGAUGACAAAAAGGGAGAUAAUUCUUACCAUGAUUGAUGUCUUGCAACGCAAGCGGAUGAAAGUUACCUGACGCGAACCUGCAGCUUCUCGGGAAGAUAUAAAGGCCCGUGGGGUGAACCAAAACCAGCUAGAAAGCUACUACCCAAUUACACACUAGUCUGCACAAAAAUAGUCGACGCACAAGAGAAACGAAAAAUGAAAUAUGUUAUAAGUUUCCGCUGAGGUUUCCACGCCGAGAGAAGGUGCCUGCUAUUUUGUAUAUCAUGGGAAUUAAGUAUAAAUUACUUGAAUACUUAAUUUGUCUGAUCUUCUCCAAUAAUAAAGGACAGAAAGAUGACUCUGCAUACAAUAUACUGGUUUAGUAAAAAGGUGUCGCAAGUUAAGGAAUUACGUAAUUGGGUUGAAGCGUUGAUGAGGCCAGUACAAAAUUAUCUUCCAGUAAAAUUUUUGGCUCAAUAAUGUGUUAGAGUGCUAUUACUUUUUUUUUUAUUAUUAUUACUAUUUAUUUAAGUAAUACAAAAAAACAUACAAAUUUAAUAACCAAUAUAACAUGUUUAAUGUUUAAAAUACAAUAUUUCACAGCACAGGCGAUUUAGAUCACCUUCAAACGUAUCCUCGAUUAAAUAAACACGUGACGGCGUGAUUAUGAUAAAUAAAAUCCAAACAAUUUACUCAUUGGAUUUAUAUAUAAAUAAUAUAAAUAAAUACACACGGUAAUGUUGAUGUUAAUGGAUAUGAGGGGGUGUUAAUUGAACUGCAGGCAUGAAAGAAGAAAAUUACUUCGCUAGUUUAACGCUGUUUAAAUUAAGUGGAUUAUAAUAACGAUAUUCUUCUUCUGCCGCAAUAAAAACAUACAUACAUCAUGCGUUUGAGGUACGAAACCCAUCAACGAAUAACAUGUGCCAAAUUUUAAAAAGACACUGCUCGCUGGCAACCGACGUGUCUCUGAUACGACUCGUUGGAAGAGAAUGCAAUCCAAGAUGAUGAUAUGUUAGUUGGUUGGUCCUUCGUGUGCACUUAAAGUCUGUAACACUUAGUUAUCUUCUCCACCUUACUCUUCUUGAGUUAUGCAUUGCUCUCCACAUAAGACAAUACUAAUAUUAAAUUAAUUAUCAUUUUCAGAAAAUAAAUUUUUGAGUACUUAAAUACAUGACGGGUCACAAUUGUGAUAUUCUAAACAUAUAAUAUGCUUGACAAUUUUUAAUGACUAAUUUUUGUUCAGAUAGUACAGAACUAAAUCAUGAUCAGUUAGAUUUGAUGCUGAAGUGUUGCUUAUUAUCUCUAGUAUUGAAAACAGACGGUGACCUGAAAACACAUCAUUCAAGGUCGGGAUUGAUUGCAUGUUAAAUGUUUAAAUAACCAUUGGAUAAUUUCCUUAUGUCUGUUAUUAUUAACUUGACGUCUGAAGGAAGAAAUUUUUCAGUGUUUAAAUUCCCAAAAUUUAAUAAUAAUAAAUAAAUUCAGAAAUUUAUUUGAACGCUGAUGAGCAACAUUGUUGCACAGCUGAGUAAGUUCAUUCAACUUUUAAUCCAGAGAUGUUGCGUUAUUAAAUAAAACUUGGUGGUCCUUUCCAACAAUAGUUUUGCGAUGAGGUUAAUUGGCUUUGAGCCACUCAAAUCACAAAACUAUACGUAAAUAACGUUCCCGUGGGUUUCAAAUAUUUUACUCACACUGUUAUUAUUAUUAUUAAUAUUAUUUUAUUAUUAUUAUUAUUAUUAUUAUGACGAUUGAGGAUAGUACGCUACGCGUCAUCAACAACUUUUACUAAAAAUAAAUCAGUAUGACAGUUUA